GUAGGUGGCAAGCGUUGUCCGGAAUUAUUGGGCGUAAAGCGCGCGCAGGCGGUUCUUUAAGUCUGAUGUGAGAGCCCACGGCUCAACCGUGGAGGGUCAUUGGAAACUGGAGAACUUGAGUACAGAAGAGGAAAGCGGAAUUCCACGUGUAGCGGUGAAAUGCGUAGAGAUGUGAGGAACACCAGUGGCGAAGGCGGCUUUCUGGUCUGUAACUGACGCUGAGGCGCGAAAGCGUGGGGGAGCAAACGGGGAUUAGAUACCCUGGUAGUCCACGCCGUAAACGAUGGGUGCUAAGUGUUAGGGGGGUUUCCGCCCCCUUAGUGCUGCAGCUAACGCAUUAAGCACUCCGCCUGGGGAUACGGCCGCAAGGCUG
rnacentral:rRNA from 1 species